GAUGAAGAACGUAGCGAAAUGCGAUAAGUAAUGUGAAUUGCAGAAUUCAGUGAAUCAUCGAAUCUUUGAACGCAUCUUGCGCUCCUUGGUAUUCUGAGGAGCAUGCCUGUUUGAGUGUCAUUAAAUUCUCAACUACACUGACUUUGAAUUGGUGUGGCUUGGAUUUGGUGGGAAAAUUGUUGUGGGCUUUUUGUAUAGUCUGCUCCCCUGAAAUUGAUUAGCGGUACCUUUGUGGAACUGUCUACAGGUGUGAUAAUUAUCUACAUCUUAGACAUCUGCUGGAAUGCUGCUUUCUAAACCUUACUUGUAUUGACAAUCUUGACCUCAAAUCAGGUAGGACUACCCGCUGAACUUAAGCAUAUCAAUAAGCGGAGGA
rnacentral:misc_RNA from 1 species